rnacentral:rRNA from 1 species
CUAGCAUAUCAAUAAGCGGAGGAAAAGAAACUAACAAAGGAUUCCCCUAGUAACUGCGAGUGAAGCGGGAAAAGCUCAAAUUUAAAAUCUGGCAGUCUUCGAUUGUCCGAGUUGUAAUCUGGAGAAGUGUUUUCCGCGCUGGACCGUGUACAAGUCUCCUGGAACGGAGCGUCAUAGAGGGUGAGAAUCCCGUCUUUGACACGGACUACCAGUGCUCUGUGAUGCGCUCUCAAAGAGUCGAGUUGUUUGGGAAUGCAGCUCAAAAUGGGUGGUAAAUUCCAUCUAAAGCUAAAUAUUGGCGAGAGACCGAUAGCGAACAAGUACCGUGAGGGAAAGAUGAAAAGCACUUUGGAAAGAGAGUUAAACAGUACGUGAAAUUGCUGAAAGGGAAACGAUUGAAGUCAGUCGCGUUGGCUAGAACUCAGCCUUACCUCGGUAUGGUGUAUUUUCUAGUGAACGGGCCAGCAUCACUUUUGGCUGCCGGAUAAAGGCCAGAGAAAUGUGGCACCUUCGGGUGUGUUAUAGUCUCUGGUUGUAUACGGUGGCUGGGAGUGAGGAUCGCAGCACGCCUUUAUGGCGGGGGUUCGCCCACCAACGUGCUUAGGAUGCUGGCGUAAUGGCUUUAAACGACCCGUCUUGAAACACGGACCAAGGAGUCUAACAUGCCUGCGAGUGUUUGGGUGGAAAACCCGAGCGCGUAAUGAAAGUGAUAGUUGGGACCUCUGUCGUGGAGGGCACCGACGCCCGGACCAGACCUUCUGUGACGGAUCCGCGGUAGAGCAUGUAUGUUGGGACCCGAAAGAUGGUGAACUAUGCCUGAAUAGGGUGAAGCCAGAGGAAACUCUGGUGGAGGCUCGUAGCGAUUCUGACGUGCAAAUCGAUCGUCAAAUUUGGGUAUAGGGGCGAAAGACUAAUCGAACCAUCUAGUAGCUGGUUCCUGCCGAG